GGCUGGUCCGAAGAUACUCAGCUACCUCCAUUGAUUGUUCACAACCAGUUACAGAUUGAAUUCCUUGUUCUAUACUUUCCCCUUUUCUCAGUACUGCACUUGACUAGUCUUAA
rnacentral:Y_RNA from 1 species